rnacentral:rRNA from 1 species
UACGUAGGGGGCAAGCGUUGUCCGGAUUUAUUGGGCGUAAAGCGCUCGCAGGUGGUUCGAUGCGUCGUGCGUGAAAGACCCCGGCUCAACUGGGGAGGGUCGUGCGAUACGGUCGAACUGGAGGCCAGUAGGGGGAUGCGGAAUUCCGGGUGUAGUGGUGGAAUGCGUAGAGAUCCGGAGGAACACCAGCGGCGAAGGCGGCAUCCUGGACCGGCAUUGACGCUGAGGAGCGAAAGCUAGGGGAGCAAACGGG